AACGCUGGCGGCAGGCCUAACACAUGCAAGUCGAACGAGAAGCCGCCCUUCGGGGCGGUGGAAAGUGGCGCACGGGUGAGUAACGCGUGGGAACCUACCCUGAGGUACGGAAUAACGGCUGGAAACGGCUGCUAAUACCGUAUGUGCCCUACGGGGGAAAGAUUUAUCGCCUUGGGACGGGCCCGCGUCGGAUUAGCUUGUUGGUGGGGUAACGGCCUACCAAGGCUCCGAUCCGUAGCUGGUCUGAGAGGAUGAUCAGCCACACUGGAACUGAGAAAGGUCCAGUCCCCUACGGGGGCCAGCAGUCUAGAAAUUUGCGCAAUGGGCGAAAGCCUGACGCAGCGACGCCACGUGGAGGAUGAAGCCCUUAGGGGUGUAAACUCCUGUCAGAAGGGAAGAAUGCAGGAAAUAACUUUUCCUGUUUGACGGUACCUUCAGAGGAAGCCCCGGCUAACUUCGUGCCAGCAGCCGCGGUAAUACGAAGGGGGCAAGCGUUGUUCGGAUUUACUGGGCGUAAAGGGCGUGCAGGCGGACCGAUAAGUCGUCUGUGAAAUCUGUCG
rnacentral:rRNA from 1 species